rnacentral:lncRNA from 1 species
GACAAAUGAAAACAAGUUUAAUCUUACUAUUAAUCAAUGCAAAGCAAAUUAUACUAACCAGAGAAAGUCAUUUUUAUAUAUCAAUAAGGCAUACAUUUUUUAAAGGAUGAUAAUAGGUAGCAAUAGAGAUUUCUUACAUACUACUUAUAUAUGAGUUAUGGAAGUAAAUUUGGAGAAGAUUUGGAAAAACAUUUUUAGUAGGCAAAAGUAUUAAAUGGAUGUAUAUGUUUGUAUAUGUGUGAAACAAUAGCUGAUUAAAUAAAUUAUGGUACAUUUUUAAGACACAGUCAAUAAAAAGUUGAAUUAAAAUAUUUACAAUUUAAACAAUUUUUUUAAAUAAUGUAGAGAAAUUUAUUGCCAUUUCAGAGUAUAACUCAGAUGAAUCAGACAAAAAAAAUCACUAAGUUGACAUUAAAAUGUUAUUUCACCAGAUUUGUCUUCAGAAGAUUUCUCUUUUGAUAAGCAAUUCUGCACCUAAUAUAGUGUAAUUUGGUAUAAACAUAUUAUGGAUAUUUUUAAAGGUCUAUAAAGGGGUGUUUCAUGAUGGUCUGUCAUAAAUAUACAAUAAUAUAUAUUAAUAUAAAUUAUUAAUGGAUUGCAUCUUGAAUUUGUACAAUGUUCUAGAAAGAUCCUACUAUUUCCAUUAUAUUUUAUAUCAAAUCAGAUAUUCCUAUUGUAUUGCAUUUGUCAAAAUGAGCUCAGUUCUGAUUUUAACACAACUAUGUGUUCAUAUGUAGGCAAAGAAAAAAUACUGGAAGUCUCCUACCAAACUUUUUGUGUUUAUCCUUCUGUAGUGGAACUCUGAGAGCCCCUCCCUUUAUUUUGUUGUGCAUAUUCAUUUUCUAUGAAAUGGAUAAUUUUUGUAAUUAAAAGUGUAUUAUUUCAAAAAGAAAAAAAAAAGUGGGAACACAGGGAUUCACAGAGGUAUCAUAACUUAACAAAAAUCAAAUUGUAACCAAGCUGCGUUUGCCCCUUGGUGAGUCACAGAUAGAAACUACACAAGGUGGAGUUGUCACACAAAGUAAACUUAUUUGUAGUAAAUAAAGAGAUCCCAGGGAAUAAUCUCCAAAGCUGUGACUCCCUGAGCAGGGGUGGAUGGGUUCCUUUUAUUUAGGGUUAAGAUAAAUAUUUUAAAUGGGGAGUCUUGUCGUUGUACGUAAAGACGGAUCUAAGUUGCACACAUGCCUCAAGGAAAUAUACAUACACUGCAUGUUAUUAAAUGAGGCUUGUGCUCCUCGUUGGGCAGAGAUUUUAGUACUGUAAUGAGGUAAGGUAACUGUUGGUCACUCCAUGGGUCACUCCACGGUUCAUCUGCACAGGUAUAAGUAAGGGGUUAAGGUCAAAUUGGUCUGGGUGGUCUGGGCUGCCAGAGAUCUUGGUCCAAGCAAUUAUUGCCAGAGGGGUAGUUCCUGUUUCUGUCAAAGGAUGCUAUGCACCUCACAUCUUUUGCCAGAGUUAAGAGAUAAACUGGAAAGAAGAGCUUAAGGAAAAAUGCUGGAGAAAAGUCAGUGGAUACAAGCCAGUGAGCAGUAAAGGUCAGGUCUGGGGGUCCAGCUGGUGAAAAAAUUGGUGAUAAAUGGUAAAACCAAAAUUCAAAUAUGUAUUUUUCCUUCUAAACUCCAUGUUUUUAUUACUAUGCCAUAUAACUUGCUAGUUGAAAAAAAAUACUAAAUUAAAACCGUGAAGCCAAAAUAUACAACUCUUAAGAGUACAUAGGGUAGCCUAUCUGGGUGGAUGGAUCAGAAAAGUGUCCCCUCCCUCCUGGCUGAUCCGGCUUGGUGCCAAGGCCCCUGAGACAUGUCCCACUGAGCUCUCAUCAGCAGGCCCCUCAGCCUGGCUACCUCUGUGUUCUACACAAACCACAACACCAGCAGUGAGACCAGGGAACAUGAAAGACCUCCAAGGUCAUUAAAAGAGCAUUGGAUAUAAGAUUUACAACCUCUUCAAGUUACCUAUUUCCUCAGAAAAUAGUUAGCAAAAAAUAAGUCAGAACUUCACUGGCACCAAGUGAGACUCUCCUGAAUUCUAGGGCGGAAAGUCCUUUAUUAUAUAAAAUACUAAUUAUGUGCCGCCAGCCUCACUGAGAGAGAGAAGUAAAUCACAUGGAACAAGCAGGAGAGCAGAUAUUUAUCAACCAAGGCAAAGAUGAUGGAGCAUUACCUAAUAAACAAUAAUAGACAGUUAAUAAGACCCUAAGAUCAAUAUUUUUCCACAACAAUGCCAGAGUAAUUCAGCUAAGAUGAAAAAAUAUAAAUAUGAGCUAUUUUGUCUAAAGAUGUGCAGCACAUUAAAAGUGAGAAAAAUGUAUGAGAGAUUCUAUGAAAUGAUCAUAAAUAUAGAAUUUUAAUAACACAAUGUGGUCAAUAAAAAAUAUAAUUAAUCUAAGGUACUAUGACUUUCAUAUGGGAUACACUUACUCAUUUUUGAAAAAUCUUCCCAGUCUCAAGCUGGUUAUACAGUGUUCUGUGUCCCCAAAUCAUAAUCCAAUCAUUUCAUUGCUAUGCUUCUGGCAUUGUUUUAACAAUAUGGCCAGAAGUAUACUAUGUCCUUUCAUCCUCUGUCCAAAUGCAGGUACUUUAAUAGAUUUAAGAAGCUGGGGUCGUAGCAGAAAAAGGUAUAUCCUCCAGUAGCUCCCAGCCAGAUUUCCACUGACCCACUCAGUGACUUGCCAUCAUUAAGUUUUGGGUUUUUGUUUUGUUUUGUUUUGUUCUGUUUUGCGCCGUCAAUUUCUUGACAAUGCUGUUUGUGGUCUGAUAUCUGGGUCAUGGAGUAUCCAGAUAUUUGGCUAGACCUUAUUUCUGGGUGUGCCUGUGAGGGAGUUACUGGAUGAAAUUAACAUUUGAAUUGAUAGACUUGAGUAAAGCAGAUGGGCCCUCUUAGCCCUCCCAACAUGGGGGAGGGGCGUUGGUGGUGCUUCAUCCAAUCCAUUGAAGGCCUGAGUAGAAUAAGAGACUGAGUGAGGACAAAUUCUCUUUCUGCCUGCCUGCCUUUGAGCUCUGACAUCUAUCCUCUACUCCCUUCAGACUCAUACUGACUGGAACUAUAUACCAUCGGCUCUCCGUGGUCCAACUUGCCGACUGCAGACCUUGGGACUCCUCAGCCUCCAUGAUCAUCAUGUAAGCCAAUUCCUUACAGUAAAUCUCUUUCCUUGGAUGGAUGGAUGGAUGGAUGGAUGGAUGGAUGGAUACAUAAAUACAUAGAUAGAGGUGGAGGUGGAAGUGAAGAUGUAGAUAUUAGAACAUAUGUCUAUUAUUGGUUCUGCUUCUCUGGAGAAUCCAUAUUAAGAGAGAUGAUUGCAAAGAAAACACAAAGAUACACACAUACACACAAUGCAGAUCACAUGAGAAAGUGUGCAACACCAAAAAGCAGACAUUAUAUAUAUACUCGGCAUGAAGGUGAAAAGCUGUCUCUGAAAAAGACUCACUGCUGGAGAAGUUCCAUGUCUUGAUCUGGAUGUUGUUUACAUGAAUGAAUGAGUGUGUACAAAUUCACCAAACUGUACACUUAAGAUGUGGGCACGUUACCGCAUUUAUGUUAUACUUCUGUGUCAAAGUAUGCUAGGGGAAAAAAAUUCGGUAACAAGUUAAGUGGGAAACUGUAACCAACCAAGUCUCUACAUGUCAAAACUGAAUUUAAUAGAGGAUGUUAGACUGCCCCCACAACCACUAUUACCACUAAUUAGGAAGAUGGAAGAAGGAUAAGCAAUUUGAGGGCCUAUCAUCCAGACCCAAACUGGAAAUGCUAGGUGAGAAUCUGAAGCAAUUAUCAAAGAUGAGAGAACUACUUAUUGAUGUGUUAAUACUCUUUGCUAAGAAGACCGGUGGUCCUUUGAUUGUCAUGUGUAUCACAAUUAUGUUGUCAGUUAUCUGUAAAUAAAUCAUCCCCAACUCUUAGUGACUUAAAACAAGACUAUUCAUUUCCUCCCAGCCCUAUAGAUUAGUAAUUCAGGGGUGGGGUGUACUCAGCUAGGCUUACUCGUGCUUUGCAGUCAGUCGAGGGUCAGCUGGGAUGGCUGGUCCCUGGAAACCUCACUCACAAUAAGAGCCUCAGCAAAGCUGGUGGAAUGUCUGGGACAGCUGGGCUUCUCUCUCCACGGAGUCCCUCAUCCCCAAGGAGCUGGACAGGGCCUGUGUAUAAGGAACCGUGUUCCAGGUAUUCCAGUGCUGACGUAGAAGUCACACAGCCUCUUAAGGUCCGGGAUCAGAAGUGACAAAACAUCCUUCACCGCAUUUUCUUGUUCAAAGUCACGGAGCCAGCCCAGCAUCAAGGGGGGGAAGACAGAGAUUCCCCCUUGGGAAGAGGGAAGUCACGGAAGCAUGGAAAUAGCAUGAAAGGAAUUAUAGUAACUAUCUUUGCAGACAUGUUUCCCGAUUUUUCACUGGACUUAGAACAUUAUGUAUUGAAUGAAUUAAUAUGUCCCAUACACAUCACACUGCAUUCUGUGGUUUCUUACUUAGCUGUUACACUGAGAAACUCUUAUUCCAAAUCGAAUAAAAUUUACUUACUUUUUCUUUCAGUUACUUUAAUUGUUUUAGUUCAGGAUUCAGAAAACUUUUUUCCAUAAAGAACCAGAUAGUAAUUACUUUAGUCUUUGUGAGCUACAGGGCACAGGCAGCCACAAUUCUGCCUGGAAAAGCAGCCGUGGGCAGGCUUUCGAGUAGGCGUGGCCAUGAACCAAUAAAACUGCACUUACAACAUCAAGAGAGGGGCUAGACUGGAACCUUUUGUUGUCAGUUGUUCACAUCUGCUUUAAGAUAUCUGGUUUUGUCUGUGUAUGUGGUGAGAAAAAACAUAUACCUUUUUUUUUUAAACAUACUUUUUCAAACAAUUAUCAUAAAUAAUUAUUAAAUAAACCAUUCUUUUCUUACUCUUUGUUAUGUCAUAUUUGUCAUAUAGUAUUAGGAUCAGUUUCCAUGCCGUACAUAUAGUUCCACUAAUCCUUCUGUGCCUGCAUUUUUAAGUAUCUAGGAAACCGCUUCAUGUUUAAUUAUAUUUGCCCUUAAGCUAUGUUUUUUGCCCAAAAGGUGAAAUAUGCCUUCAUUAGUCUUUCUUUUUAAAAGCACCUCUGCUUAUCUUUCCAAUGAAUUUUUGUACAGAACUUCAGGAUCGUUUAUUUGUUUAAUUUUGAGAUGAACAAUUUUGCAUUGAUAUUUUCACCAGAGCUGCAUUAAAACUAUAAAAGGAAAAAACUCUUUAUAAUAUUAGGUCUUCUCCUUCAAAAGAAUGGCACUUCUCAUUAUUUAACCCUUCUUUAACCUAUAUAUGUUCAGAGUCACAGUUUUCUUCUUAACUGGCCCACACAUUUCCUAGCUUCUUACUAGGUAUUUGUGGCAAGGAAUACUAGUGCUCACCACUAUCUAUGCUGUUCCUUUUCUUCCUGGUCACAGAAGAAGACAUUUCCUAGCUUCCCUUGAUGUAAGGUGGAUGAUAAGCCUGGAUUCUGGUCAACACAAUGUGGAUGAAAGAAAUCUAUAAUUUUCCAUUCUCCUUUGGUUGUCUCCUGGAUGGAUGCAUAAGAUCUCAUGGAAAGCUCUAAAGCCUAAGAAGAUGUCAAAAUUACUAAAGGGAAGGAAUUUGCACCUACUAAGCUAUUAUGAGGAAGGCUGUCUGCCAAAAUUCAUUUGCAUUACGAUGUGAGAGAGAAACUUCCAGUUGUCUAGCAACUGGUAUCCAUUUUUUUUUGUUAUAACAGUUAUUCUUCUCUGAUUUAUAGUAUCUUCUUUAUUUUUAUUCCUAUUAUAAAUGAGUUCUUGUUUUAUUUUAUAUUUUCUAACUGAUUAUCUUAUACAUAGGAGAACUACUGAUGUUGCUAAUGUUUAAUCUUGCAAACUUACUAAUUUCUUUGAUUUGCAUUGUUUUUCACCUGAUUCUCUUUUGAUUGCUAGUUAGGUAUGAGCCAAAUAGGGCAGCCCCAGUGGCUCAGAGGUUUAGCGCCACCUUCAGCCAGGGGCGUGAUCCUGGAGACCCGGGAUCGAGUCCCACAUCGGGCUCCCUGCAUGGAGCCUGCUUCUCCCUCUGCCUGUGUCUCUGCCUCUUUCUCUCUCUCUGUGUCUUUC